CCCGGUUUGUCACCGGCAGUCUCAUUAGAGUGCCCAACUGAAUGUAGCAACUAAUGACAAGGGUUGCGCUCGUUGCGGGACUUAACCCAACAUGUCACCACACGAGCUGACGACAGCCAUGCAGCACCUGUCACUUGGUCGUAUUGCUACGAAAGCCGGAUCUAUCCGGUUGUCCAAGGAUGUCAAAUCCAGGUAAGGUUCUUCGCGUUGCUUCGAAUUAAACCACAUGAUCCACCGCUUGUGCGGGCCCCCGUCAAUUCCUUUGAGUUUUAGUCUUGCGACCGUACUUCCCAGGCGGGGUACUUAGUGCGUUAGCGCCGGUUCAGCAGGGGUCAAGACCCACCAAACCUAGUACCCAUCGUUUACAGCGUGGACUAC
rnacentral:misc_RNA from 1 species